UGUAUAUUGCUAAUUGGAUUGCGACCUGACAUGACUAUAUUCACUCUCUGUUACAGCAGUGUUGGGCUCCUUCUUUCUCACCUCUGGGUACCAAAUUAUGGAGAAUUUCUGUUGCAGGCCUACUACGGAACCUCUAGAAGGUACGGAGCCUGAGAAUCUUUGAGAGUCGAAGCCGUGAUCUACCAUCCUUUCUCUUAGCAGUCCAACGGUCCAUAAUGGCUUGGGCUUACAGCUUCCUUCCCUUUAAAGUAGUACCUAAGGGGUUCUUCUUUGCGCACUUCAGAAACCUGAUGCUUUUCAAACCCAGUCGCAUGUCUCUGCGAUUUGUGUGAAAGCCUCCUUCGAAAGGAUGGGUUAAGCUUAAUUUUGACAGCAGUGUGAAGGGUCAGAAUGAUCACUGUGGGUCCACAAUCUGAACUUAUUAAGGAAGGCUUCAUCCUUGUAAAAUUAAUGAAGCUAAGUUAUGGGCCUUGAAGAUGGGCACUUUAAAAUUUGACCAUUCUCACCCUAGAGUCCUCAUAGAAGGUGACUAUACAAAUGUGAUUAGUUGGUGCCGGCAUCCAAACACCACCCCCUGGCGCCUUAGUAGUGUUAUGGAUGAAAUCUUGAUCUUUGAAAGAUUUCGAUGUGUCCUUCUUGCAUGUGGUUCGAGGCUUCAAUUCGGAGGCGGAUUUGUUAACUAACAAGGCCACAUCCUAAGUUUGGGUUCCGUCUUUUCCCUUUCUUUUUUGCUCCUCUCUUCCCCUUACCCCCGGCCCUUUGGGGUGCUUUCUUUUUUGGUUUUCCUUUUGUUUUUGUACUCUUAUUCGUUAUUGAAGCUCGCACUUUCUCAAAAAAAGGUCAUUGGGGGAUGAGGGUUAUGACUCAACACACAUGGGAACUCCCGGGGUUAUUUGCUGUUUGGCAGCACCAACAAGUGAGCUAUCUGGCAUAAUUGUGUUCCACUUGGUGAGAAAGUAUGAAAUCUAUGGAGUAUGCUCCCAUUUCUACCUCCAGCAGUGGGACC
rnacentral:lncRNA from 1 species